AAGUCCUGGGGCGAUUGUCGGCUUAGUCGCUGUAUCAUUUCAACUGCUGUGCAGUUCUUCGCUAGUGACUAGACCGAACACUCGUAUCCCAGGCCUU
ncrna:Aedes aegypti (yellow fever mosquito) microRNA aae-mir-286b precursor (aae-mir-286b-1, aae-mir-286b-2)